AGUGAACGCUGGCGGUAGGCCUAACACAUGCGAGUCGAACGGCAGCACAGUAAGAGCUUGCUCUUACGGGUGGCGAGUGGCGGACGGGUUAGGAAUACAUCGGAAUCUACUUUUUCGUGGGGGAUAACGUAGGGAAACUUACGCUAAUACCGCAUACGACCUACGGGUGAAAGCAGGGGAUCUUCGGACCUUGCGCGAUUGAAUGAGCCGAUGUCGGAUUAGCUAGUUGGCGGGGUAAAGGCCCACCAAGGCGACGAUCCGUAGCUGGUCUGAGAGGAUGAUCAGCCACACUGGAUCUGAGACACGGUCCAGACUCCUACGGGAGGCAGCAGUGGGGAAUAUUGGACAAUGGGCGCAAGCCUGAUCCAGCCAUACCGCGUGGGUGAAGAAGGCCUUCGGGUUGUAAAGCCCUUUUGUUGGGAAAGAAAAGCAGCAGGUUAAUACCCCGCUGUUCUGACGGUACCCAAAGAAUAAGCACCGGCUAACUUCGUG
rnacentral:rRNA from 1 species